GUAGGGUGCGAGCGUUGUCCGGAAUUAUUGGGCGUAAAGAGCUCGUAGGCGGUGUGUCGCGUCGGUCGUGAAAACUUGGGGCUUAACCCUGAGCGUGCGGUCGAUACGGGCAUCACUUGAGUUCGGCAGGGGAGACUGGAAUUCCUGGUGUAGCGGUGAAAUGCGCAGAUAUCAGGAGGAACACCGGUGGCGAAGGCGGGUCUCUGGGCCGAUACUGACGCUGAGGAGCGAAAGCGUGGGGAGCGAACAGGAUUAGAUACCCUGGUAGUCCACGCCGUAAACGGUGGGCGCUAGGUGUGGGGGCCAUUCCACGGUCUCUGUGCCGCAGCUAACGCAUUAAGCGCCCCGCCUGGGGAGUACGGCCGCAAGGCUAAA
rnacentral:rRNA from 1 species